GAAAAAUAUAUUUCACUUUUCUUUUAAAACAAUUUCCUCAUAGUCUUGAGCAGCCAUUAAAAACUAGCUAAACUCACUAAGGUGCCAAGUAUUUUAUGAGGAAGCAAAUUCUGACUCCCUUUACAGGCAUUCAGAACACCUCUGAACACCAACAGACCUGUCCCCUUAGUAACCGCAGGGUGGACAAGUAAAGUUGGUGCCCUCGGAUCCUUCUACAACGCUCGGUGGAGGAUCACAGACCUUCGAUGUUCAACCGGCUGUCAACAUGACAGUUUUCACAACUACUGUCAAGUCCUCAAUGAGAACUGCCAUCAUUCAACUUGCAACUCUAAGUCCUGAGCCCACUUAGUGAUUCUUGGAGAUCAUCAUCUAGGGCCUCUGCACAUGAUUUACCAGUUUUCCCUGCAGAACCCUAUAAACCGAGAAUGUUUAUGUCCCUAUUCUCUCUGGGACCUUAUCGAUGCAGAGAGAUCUGUAUACACCUCGUCUGUUAGAAAGUAUCAGCAAAUGCACACCCGUAAGAAAACCUGGAAAUGAAGAUUCUGUCUUUGUUUCAUGAAACUUAGGUCUGGUUACUUCACAUGCUACAAAGACCACAUUAUGAUAAUGCAGCCAGAUUUUUCGACUGGAAAACCCCUUCUUUGUGCAGAAUUAGAACCGACUAUUCCAUUUUUACAGAAUCCCAAAAACAGCACCGAAGCGUUCAGAGUUCUGGCACCUGAACACGUCUGACAAUCCCUACCUGAGAAGGAAAGAAACCAAACUAAGAACCGCUUUACUACAAUAGAUCUGUAGUAGAUGUGUCCACAUUUGUCAUUGCACAAAUUCUGAAAGUCAGUCUUCACUGGAAUAUAAUGGAAUGGAACAAAUGCAUCUCCAUCUAUAGAGGCCCCGACUCGCAGGAGUGGCACCAAGGCCUGUGGUAGACAAAACAUACAAAGCUCCUUGCAAUCUCGCCGUGAUUCUCUGAUCUUAUUCCCCGCUUCUCUCCUCUCUACAACACUGCAGCCACAUCUCUAGCUUUCUUGUUGCUCUUUAGACACAAUAAAGUCAUUUCAACCUCAGGACAUUUGCACUUACUAUUAACUAAUGCCUGAAUCGCUCUUCCCUCACAUCAUGAGAUCUUCCUUCUCGCAAUUUGGAUUUCAGCUUAAAUGUCACCUCCUCUUAGAAGCUUUCCCUGCUCCUCCACUCUGAAGUGGAAUCCCCAAAGCACUAUCACUCACCCUGUUUAAUCUUCUUUACUAAGCACUUACCAAUAAAAGUGUUUUAUUCAAUUAUCUAUCCCAACCUUUCUAGAAUGAAUACCAUGAGAAGGGGGCCUCGUCCCAUCUGUUAGGCAACCUUGCAGGUGCUCAACGUCUGUUGAAUGAAAGUAUAAAAGAGCAUUAACCUCUCAUUCCUAGUGCUGGGGAAAGGGCAACCACUGCUGGAGUCCAUAUUCCCAUUUCUCCCACCACGGUUUCACAUGACACACAGUUUCUGGUGUCACUUAUAUGCCACGAUGAAAACAGCAUCCAUAUACUCAACACACAUACCAGAUACCAUUCUAGACGGCCCUCCAGGCUAUGCCAUCCCUUUUCUGUUUAACACAACUGCAAGCCAAGUAUUUGGAACACUCUUUUCCAGAUGAGGACACAGGCUUACUCAAGGUCCCUAGGGCCAGGGACCCCGACCCCUAAACCUGAGAGUCAUGAGAAGUACCAAUGGGUUGGUGAGGGAGAUGGUACAGUCAUGAACUGAACCUACUUUCAGACUAGUGUCCUUUAGUUUUCACCUUCACUCGAAUCUUUACAAGAUGUAAAUAUAUGGUACUUACGCUUCCCUCAUGUUCUCUCGUCU